rnacentral:lncRNA from 1 species
CUGGCGAGCGCGCGCUUGGUCCGGCGUGCGCGUGGCCGCUGCUGCCGGGCUGCCCGCUAGGCGGGGAUCGAUUGGGGUGGGGCGAGAAGCCUGCGGCCGCUGCCUUCCCUAGGGUCAAGCCGGUAUUUGCUUUGUCGUGCGGCAUCGGCGGCAACAGAAGGCGAAGGGAGGCCGUUUUGAAGUGAUCUGUGUAUAGGCGCUAGCUUCAAGUGUUCCCACCAAACUGGGACUGUAGGACUCCAGCCAGUCCCAAACUCCCCAGCUAGUCCAGAGAACCUGCCGAUGGAGGAGUUGUGUCAUUCUUCUGAGUACCAGAGAACUACAAUCACUGAAAAUAUAACACUUCGGCUACCCAGGGAGAUGAUCUUUGAAUCCUUGUCUGUAGCUGGACAUCCUUCAAAAAUGUUUGGUCAGGGGAUUUCCACUGGAACUGUUACCACGAAUCACUGAGCUCCUGACUUGUGCAAUGAGAGAAAGUAGAAAUAAAAAU